rnacentral:rRNA from 1 species
GACGAACGCUGGCGGCGUGCUUAACACAUGCAAGUCGAACGGAAAGGCCCUGCUUUUGUGGGGUGCUCGAGUGGCGAACGGGUGAGUAACACGUGAGUAACCUGCCCUUGACUUUGGGAUAACUUCAGGAAACUGGGGCUAAUACCGGAUAGGAGCUCCUGCUGCAUGGUGGGGGUUGGAAAGUUUCGGCGGUUGGGGAUGGACUCGCGGCUUAUCAGCUUGUUGGUGGGGUAGUGGCUUACCAAGGCUUUGACGGGUAGCCGGCCUGAGAGGGUGACCGGCCAAAUUGGGACUGAGAUACGGGCCAGACUCCUAAGGGAGGCAGGAGUGGGGAAUAUUGCACAAUGGGCGGAAGCCUGAUGCAGCAACGCCGCGUGCGGGAUGACGGCCUUCGGGUUGUAAACCGCUUUCGCCUGUGACGAAGCGUGAGUGACGGUAAUGGGUAAAGAAGCACCGGCUAACUACGUG